UACGGAGGGAGCAAGCGUUGUUCGGAUUUACUGGGCGUAAAGGGCGCGUAGGCGGCCACCUCAGGUCAGGGGGGAAAUCUCUGGGCUUAACCCAGAAAGGUCAACUGAUACUGCGGGGCUAGAGUGCAGAAGGGGCAACUGGAAUUCUCGGUGUAGAGGUGAAAUGCGUAGAUAUCGAGAGGAACACCUGCGGCGAAGGCGGGUUGCUGGGCUGACACUGACGCUGAUGCACGAAAGCUAGGGGAGCGAACGGG
rnacentral:rRNA from 1 species